AUGAAAGAGGGGGAAAUUAAAUGUGAAUUAUAAACUCCAGCAUCUGUGCUUGGGGAAUCUGCAACCAAAUGCUAGUGGAUGAAUUUGAUCCAGUAUUGGCCACUGAUUCUUAAAGAGCUUCCUAUUCUCAGAGGGAACUGAUUCAGAUACCAGCCUAGAGCUGAGACCCCACAGCUGAGUGAGGACAAGGGCCACCCUUCCUAACUGAGGUUUGAUCAGUUGGAUUUUGAGAUUUUGGGAAGCCAUAAGGGAAGCCUGGCUUCUUUUUAUAUCUUGGAGCCCCCCUGGAAGCCUCAGCCCCAGAAAUGUGUUCCAGCACUGCUUCAGCACAUGCUGAGUGUCCAGGGGAGCAUUGCACCCAUAUCUGAGCUGUCGUGAGCUAAAGCCAGCAGAAGAAGCUUUCCAUUCACACCUUAGGUUUUCAUGUCAACAUGCCAUAAUGACAUGAGGCAGCAGAUGGAUGCAGACCAGGAGGAAUAUUUGGACAUAUUAGGCAAUGGGGAUCGGUCCAUUCAGCUCACACAUCUCCAGCUGAGAGAUCACAAGGCUGCAAAGGACCAAACUGAAAGCUCCUCGUAAAUAGAAGCAAACAUUUUAUUUAAACCACCAGCUCCUAUCCCAGUUUGAAAACCCCACACCCUGCCCUUUGAAUUGCUAAUAGAAUGACCCCAUUUUCAUUGGGUUCAGAGUCUUUCUCAGAGCUGACACCUUUCCCCUCUGGGGAAGGGCUGAACAGCAGACAUCCAGCUAAAGUCCCAUGUCAACAGAUAAAGGUAAAACACACUUUUCAGUCAUGGAUGUGUUUCCCAAAAGCUCUGGUAUCUCUGGUCCUCUCUACUUUGUCUGUGAAACUAUUACUUUGCAUAAUAGAAGAGAGCAAUGCUCAACCAUCUGGUAGCAGCACCACCAUAAUUUAGGUUACUUCACUCAAUCUCCCAUAAGCAACAGGAACAAAGCCUCCUUCUUGUUUUCCUUGAUCUCUCAGCCCUGUGCUAGAAAGGCAAAGCCAGAAGGAGCCAUGGGGGAGUCAACUGUACCCUGAACUGGGUUUUUGAAUUUUAAGGGACGUCUCUGAUUCUGAGUGAGAUUUCUUCACAACUAGGACAUUUCCCAAUUCUGUGUGAGCACAGGGAUGAAGAACUCAAUAACCCCAGCUGGGAGAAGACACUGGGUAUCAUGCCAUGUGCAAAUGCCCCUUUCACCUGCAGCAAAACCUGGGGACUGGGAUCACAUCACGUGGGCACGGUGCCGGGGGAAUCAGCACUGAGGUCAAUGUCACCAAGCAGCACCACACACACCUCCAUCAGGUGAGACCUCCAUCACCCCUGAGGGACUCCUCAUCCUGGGGACCAAGCCACUUCUUCAUCCCCAUUGCUGGUUCUCUUAAAAACCUGAAUCAGGGAAACUGCUGCUGUUCCUCUAUGUUAAGAGGAAUGCCCAGACCUGCACUCCUCUUUAUCCAUUCUUGGUGAGUGUAGUCAGAUGGUGAAGGCCUGGAUGUUGGAGUUUAUGGCUUAAAUCAAUGGGAUUAUUCAUGAGUUGAGAGAUAACCAUGUGCUUUUAUGCUUGGCUGGAGCGGCGUCUGAAGCUGACAGCUGGGAGUCAAAAGCUCUGAGUCACCGGGUCCCUCCUCUCUCCUUCCUGUGUGACCAGUCUGCCCGUGUCUGCUUCCCUGCCUGCCGCAUAAGGAGGAUGGCAAUCGCUUUUAUCUGAUGGCUGCUUUCAAACGGCCCUAAAGGCCUCUUCUGGCCUGAUGAAAAUUCAGUAGAAGCUGGACUAGCAUGGAAAGAUGGGAGGACAUUUAACUAAUGAAAGCGCUGGGGCUCAGGAAGGCAAUUACAUCCUUUCUUCCUCCCCACAUUCCCACACAGGCUACUGGUGAUUGCUGCAAACUCUUCUAGGGGCACAGAGGAGUGGGAGGCCAUGGAAAGGAUGAGACAAGGCCAUCUGAGCUUGGGGGAGGCUCUGUGGGGUGAUGGUUGGAUGGCCAGCACAGCAGGUUCCCAGCAGUAGUUACACCAUAAAAGAGGCCCCGUUCAAUUGAAAAUUUGAUCCUGAAAGCCUCUGCUUCACCCAGGUACUUUGUACAAAAACAUGCACAAAAAUUAGAGACAAAUGGGCCAAAUGCUUGUAUUCUAUGCCCCAAUUUACACUAAGUUCCCAGAAGGUUUUCCAUGUUUAGCAUGUACCUCUCUAAAUAAGAGAUGAUUUUAAAUAGAGACCCCAUCCCUUCUCCUGCAGCUCCUGUGCAGUGUUGGUCAGUACUGCUGAGGGGUCUCUCUCCCUAUGGCCCUGUGCAGUACUCACUCAGUGCUGAGUUUUAGGAGACACAGGCAGUGUGAGCUGCCCAGGGUUCAAAGGGCUGACUGGAUCAAAGGCUGGUGGUGCUUUUUCCUGCUCCAGUUGUCCCCUUGCCACCUUUCCUGGGAGGAGAAGUUGCUCCUGCUGCCCUGUUUCAGUGCACCCCCGUUUUUAAGGGAAUCUGCCUUUAAGCUGCCUUUAUAUGGCUGUAAGAUGGGCUGUUCUGCACCCUGUUUGUUAGCAAGUCAAAUAGGAGAGUGUGAGAAACCCUGUGCAGCUACAGCUGCUGUGCCCAGGAGAGUAUGCAGGCAGAAGAGCUGUAGGUGUCCUCCCAGCUGCCCCAGCAUCAGUAAAUACAACUGCUCUCACUUUCCAUUGAUAGACAUCAAAAUACAAUUAAGAAUCAAGCUCUUCAAAUUGAUAGAUCUCCUGAAUUUGAAGCAUUUCUCAUUAUUUUGCUGAUAACACUGCCUAGAUUAGAUUAUAUUUUUAAAGAGAAAAUUAAAAUAAAUAGUAUUUAUGAUUUAAUCAUUUGAAUGACUAAGAAGCUACAGCUUUAUUUUUACUUCACAGAGGACCAGGAGAUGUUUUUAAUGAUACGUUUUACUCACAUAGGACCUUUCAUCCAAGAAUCUCAAACUGCUUUUUAAAUAAUUAAUUAAUCCUUGUACCUCUCCAUGAGACAGUUAUUAUCUCUGAUGUUACUGAUGGGUAAGUAAAGGCACAAAGACGUCAAGGCACAAGCUGUUUUCCAAAUAUUAAUUAACUAAUUCUCUCACCACUCAGUGAGACUGUUACUAUCUCAGCCACUACCAGUGGGUAAACUAAGGCACAAAUCAGCCAGUAACUCACCCGAGGCAUGCAGGUGAGUCAGGAGCAGCACUGAGAAUAGCUGUGAGCGGUCUCUGAGCUCAUUGUUUCCAGCAAGUCCUACGCAGUAUUCCUGACAAUGGGCAGCACAUUCCCUGGUGAGAAGCACAGCUGAAACCAGCUGCUUUAUGAAAAUAUCUCCUCUGCUCUGUCUUCAUCCAUUGGAGAUCAUGUUUGCCCACAUCAAUCUGCAGUUUCUUUUGAACUUGUUGUGGCUGGUGGAGCCGGAGUAACUAUGAGGAGAAAUGUUUGGUUUAAAGGCCCUGGGGAGCUUUGAGAUGCUCUGGUGGUGGGGCUGUCCAGCAGCACACAGUGUUUCUAGAGCCCAUCCCUGUGCCCAGCCUGUGUGGCAUCCUGGGGAGAGCACAGCCCCAGGCUCAGCCAGGCACAGGGGGCCACAUGCAGGGCUUGGUGCCAUCACUCCUCUCUCCUGUGUCCCAGCCUGCAGCCCCAGAGCAAGCAGUGCAGGGCCCCAGGUGUGAUAACCUGAGCUGCUGAACCUGUGGAUGUGUCCUGCCCCAUUUACCCACCUCCUCCUCUGGCACAUGGCAGCAGGGAAUCUUUAGGGAUCUUCAUUCUCUCUGCAAGAGAAUGUGGAGGAACAUGGGGACCCUGUGGGCCAGGGCCCCUCGGCAGCCAAACCCACCUCAUCCCUUGCACAGUCCAUCAGCUCAGGCUUGGUGUGUGUUUAUCCCAUGGAGCAAGAGCUUUCUGUCCUCCCCAGGAGGAAGAGGAAAGGCAGGAAGCUGGAGGUACUCUGUCCCUAGGAAGGGUCCAGCUGCAGGAUUCUCUGCAUAGGCACCUGAAACCUCACCACAAGCACAUCCCAGCUGAGCUAUUUCAAACAUGGGCUUGGCCCCAUCAAAUGCAGUCUCAUUUCCACAUGAAAGGGCUGGAGAAGUAUGAAGCCAGCUCAUCUGUAUUGAUAAAAAUUUGGCAUUACUUUCCCCCAGUUAUCUAAGCUUUCUGUGUACAUUAAUCACAGUGCAAAAACCUGGAAGAUGAGGUGCAUCUCAGCUGUCUUUCUGGGGGUUUUCUAUGGGUUGAUUUUUUGGGGUUUUGUUGGUUUUUUUUGGUUGGUUGUCCCUUUUUCCCCCUAAGCUUCCUUUGUCCAGUUCCACUCUGCUGGAGUGAUUGCUGUCUCCCCCGUGCAGUUUGGGUGCCUCACUCCUCAUGCUCCAGCUCUGAUGCAAGCCCUCAGAUGCCGAGUUUGCCAAAGCUGGCACGAGCACCCCGUGCUCGUCUAGACACAGUCUAACUGUGGCACUAGUGCCAGGCUUCCGCAGGCUGAGCUCAGCGUUCGUCAGAGCUCUGCCCACGGUCAGCACUUUGAUCUUUAUCCUUGGAAACCACAGCCAUUGACAAAGGUAAAAUGAGUUUCUGACUUUGAAAGACUUUGAUGGCAUUCCCCUGUUUUGGUUUGCGUUUUGUUUUUUUUUUUUUUUUCUCCUCUCCUUUGCUCUUCCAGCUGAACUUCAUCAUAAAGCUUCUGAUUACAGCUGCAGCUCCAGGACCAGAGAGAGGUCAUGCUGUCUUGCUUUCUGCUGGUUUAAAAUCUGAAGGGGAAACCCUGGGACACUUGUGAGACAGUCUGCCAGGACUGGGAGUGAAAUCCAGGUUUGCUGAUGUCAACGGGAUUUUUGCCACAGAUGGCCAGGUGGGCCCAGCUCUCUCCCUAAACAUCUGCAUGGAAAAGUCCAGAGACCUUAAGUGACAGCAGUGACUGGAAGUCCCAACAGGGAUGGCCAAUCCUGAAGGCAGAACAUCCCAGAGCAGGUUUUGGGAUGUCCAGCUCCUGAUGGGGAGACCCCAUUUGUCAAAACAGACUUUGUUAAACAAACAAGUGAAAAACAACUCUGCCUUCAAGCCUUGUUGAAACAAUGAAGUAGCAGGAAUCUCCUUGGAGAGCAAUGGAUCACAGCACUUGUCAAGAUGAUUUCCAAAUCAAAGAUGACUUCCAAGGAGCAGCAGGGUCCCUGGUCCAUCUGUCCAAUGACAGCACUGACAUUGCUAAAUGUCACAAAGUGAAGCUGCCGGGGUUGCUCCACGUGCUGCUUCCAGCAGUAUCCUCUAGGAGCUGAAAUUCCUGUGUGCACAUACAGCAUCCAGAUUCAUCACACUAAAUCAUCAGUGUGGCAGAGUUGUUCCCAGUCAUUGCUCUGUUUAUUUUCGAUGUCCCAUCCUAUCAGCUCAAAUUGAGUUGGGAAGAGGUAAAGCAACAAGAACAGGCAGUUUUUAAGGUUACAUAAAGUAGAAGAGCAGGGUUUACAGCACACACCAGCCCAGGAAGGCAGCAAGGGACACAGGAUGGGGAGGGAGAUGCAGGUUACCAGGAACCUCCACAUCUGACUUUGCACAGCACCUUCCGAGUGAACAAGCUGCCCUGCAUCACUGACAUGUACUGGUGUUCCCAGGGUACCUAUGGGCCAAGCCCCCAGCACUGGGCUGGGGCAGGGCAGCGCCUCCAGGCUGGAUUUCCAUCUCUGCCUGCUGGUGGGAGCAGCCACAGCUUCCCACAGAGGGACUUGUGUGAAGGGGCUGUGCAUGGCCUGAUAAACCAUGAGAUCCUGCCAAAAUAAAGUCAGACAGAGACUCAGCUGUCCUCUGCCUCUGGAAAGAAGUUCCUUGGGAGGUGGCUGUCACUCCUGAAAAGUGAAGGAGUAAGAAGAGAGGUUCAGAGCCCAGGGACUGGCUCCUCUCUAACAGCUGCAAGAGAAACAAAAACCCUUUCCAAAACACAGUCAACAGCAAAGAAGGAAACAGGAGGGCUUUGAAGUGUAGCUCUCCCUCUCAGAUCAAGUGGAAGAGGUGGGAUGACAGCAAGCUCCUGUGAGCAGCCAGUUCCUAUGGCCAGGCGAGUGGGAUGACUUGGAGGAGGUCAGGAGCCCUCAGCAGUGUGGCUCUCCCAGGACCCUGCAGCUUGCCCAUGACCAUCUCGUUUUGUGCCUGUUGCUGACAGGAGCAGCUCCCAGCUGCUGCCCCACCACAAGGAAGGGGUUUGGACAGACAGACCCGACCCAGGCUGGUGCUGCACCAUCCAGGGCACCAACCCCAGCUGGGAAGCAGAGACAAACCAGAGGUGAAAGCUGCUGAAGUGGCAGGAAUCACUUAUCCUGUAUGUGUGCACAGAGAGGAACAGCCAGAACAGCAGACCCUGAGCAAUAAACAAUAUUUCAGGCAUUACGAACACGCAGGAGAGCUCUGCUGAUGAAAGAUUUGUAGUUGUUAUUAAUAUCUGUCGAGUCCAAGCUCAGACCUGAAGCUCAGUCUGCACUUGAACCUUCUCCAGGUGCUCAGAUUUCCUGAUGUAGAUCUGCCUGACAAAACAACAACAACAACAACAACAAAGGUCUGAAAACAUGCUGUUGAUGUGGAGAAGAAUUUCCUCCACGCAUCCAGGAAAGUUCAGAGAAGAAAUCGCUUGCCUGGGAUGCAUAGCUGUUAAUACCUUCUCACAAGCUUUCCCACCCACAGAACGAAAAGCAAAAACCAGUUGGCUUUGGGGUAUAAACCAAAUUAGAAACAGGGAAGGGAAACCUACCAAGUACCCACAAGGAGUUUGGCUAAAGAACUGUGAUGCUUCUGAACAUUUGACUUGAUAUUCUCCCACAGAAAAUGAGAGGGAGGCCAAAGCCUAAACAUUCAAUUGCUUUCUAAAAUGCUCCAGUUUGGGAGAUUUUGCAGAUUUUUUCCUGAUGCAAUAAAAACAAAUAAAAAUUCCCAGUACCAAUCACGUUAGAAGUCAGAUAUCCUAAAUGUCCUCUUUCUUUUAUUUAUCCCAGCUGCCACAUUAUCACAGCCCAACAUGAGCAAGUCUGACCAGUGGUGUCUGUGAAAAAGAUCCUUAAGAAAACAAAAUCUCCUGGUGUAAAAAGCUAAAGGUCCUGCAGAUCAUUCCCACUUUGUUAGGACACAGCAUUGCUGUGGGACGUUCUGGCUGUAAAAAGCUCUCUGAGCUCACUUGUGUUCACAGAAGAUCCUAGAGGAGGUUUUAUAUGAGUAUGAACAUCUUCGCCAAUAUUCACCCUGGACAAUUAGAAUUUUAUUUUGUUUCUAUUAUUACUUACAUUAAUUACUGUAAUGGCAGGGUCCAGAGCUUUCAGCCCAAGCCUGCAUAGCCCUGACUGCUCCCAGGUUUCCUUCCCUCCAGAGGUUUCUGCAAAACCUCUUGGUUAAGCAGAUCCUGCACCUUCCUCACUACCAGGUGGAGUUUGGAGCAGUUCUCCUGCCCUUUCAUGCCAGCCAGCAGUGAGUGUGCAGCUCCCUGCAGGGCUCCAAAACCUCCUGUGAGGGUGGAGCAGGAAGAGGCUUCCCUGCCAGCUGUCACGAGGGAUGUGCAGCACCAGGAAUGGCAGUGGGGCAGCCAUUAACCUGUAAGGGAAGAUGGAUGCUUGGAGGUGAAAGGGAAGGGAAGGGAGGGAAAGGAAAGGAAGGAAUAGAAAGAUAUGCAGGAAAACUGGGUUAAAGAAAAAAAUAGGUGUCAUUUAACUAUUAGAAUGCACUUCUGGCCAGUUUCCUAGGGAUGGUAUGUGUAGAAGAGGAGUGAAUACGCUGUGAAAAUAACAGCAGCAGAAGAGCAGGUCUUUAGUACACCUGGAAGGAGGGAGUGCAUAGGCAUGUUUGUACCCUAAGUGAAAGAAAAAUUUGGCUCUGAAGUGUUUGGCAUCAGCUCAUCUGUAUCUCCACAAAUGGAUUUCCAGUCUUCAUGCAGAAAUUCUUGCAUCCUUCCCAUACAAAGCCACGCCUGAGUUACAUGCAGGAGUCCUUGACAGUCACAUUUCAUAACCCCAUUCCUUUUCCUGCUAACAAAUGAAAUGUCAUUCAUUGCAGCUUCAUAGGAUUUGAUUCAGAAUGGAAUAAAUAUAAUUCAAUGUAAAUAUAACAGUUUUCAGCACUUAGAGAAACUGCCCUUGGGCACCACUUUGCUUCAGGGCUUUGCAUUCUGGGCACCAUGAGAAAUGGGCUGGGGGCUGAGCACAAGCCACCUUCCACAGGAGUUUGUGUGAUGGUGCUAAUCUUCAUCUUCCAACUCAUCUUUGGACAGCAGCGUGGGAGGAACUGAAACGUGGGGCAAAGACUCACAUCUGAGUAAACAACAUCAACAGCUGAGGUUUUUACACCCUGUCUGGCAUUGGCCAGCAAUGAAGGAUUUCACUGCAGCCACAAACCUGUUGUUCCACCUCUCUCCAUAGCCAGACCUGUGCACAAAUAUACACACAGUUUGGGGGCCGUUCUUGGAGGUCAGUCCUUGCUUUCCCAUCACCUGUGUCCUGGGGCACUGCUGCAUUGGCCCCAGUGCUUGGUGACCCUCAGCUGCUGUUUCAAGGAGGAAGAGGAUGAGGCUGCAGCUCCCUGGGCUCUUCCUCCCUGCCAAGCUUGCCCUGAAGCAUUUAGGCUCCAAGGCUUUGGCCCCCGGGGCCCAGACCCUCAGGGGGUGUGAGCUGUUGCACCUUGCUGCAGAGCUGCUGUGCUUGUUCCAUGCUGUCCUGCUGGUGCAAACAAUCCCUGGAGAAUCCUUUCAGGUGUGUUAUUAAUUCACAGGGAAAACUGUUGGUAGAUUUUUGUUGCAUAAUGCAGCCAACCUCAGGACCAAAACAGAAUGGAGGUGUUUAAUCAGAGCAGCCCCCUCCAGUUCCCACGUCAGGGAGCAGAGCCAGAUCUACAUCUGAGCUCUGCUGCUCGCCAGCCGAAGGGACCUGGGGGUUCUCCACGCUGCUUUAAGCAUCCAUCAAAACAACUGUAAAUGAGUUAUGUUUCAAGUAUGCAAGAACUUGCUUCUCCAUGCCAAAAAACGAUUAGUGUUCUCAGGCUUCCAGCAAUGCAAAGCAGAGUCUGCCAUGUCCUGAUGAGAGAUAGAUGCAUUUCCUCUUAGACAAUUAAUAUUAGGGGUGGGUUUUAUUGCCAUUCUUUUUUAUGUUGUUAACAUCCUGCCCUCUUUCCUGGUUCCUCCCAAAGAGCUACAAUGCAAUUUGCAAAACUCCCCUUUGUAAGAUGUAAACAUUUACUAAACAUUGUCUUUCCACUUUGUGUUAUGACAAAAGAAUACAAGUCAAGAUGUUAAAUAUAUUUCUGUAUUUGCAUCUGAAAGCCCCAGGCCUUCCUGAACUUACUUGCAGAUAACUUCUAUUGUUUCCAGCACGUUGUUACCUUUUUCGUGGAUCAUCAGCUCCAUGAAAAUCCAAGGGUGAAGUCUUUGCUGGAGCACUGUCUGGGACCCACCUACCACCCAGUUCCUUACCAAUGUAUCCAUAUGACGAUCAUCCAUGUUAUUCCACCUGAUUGUUUCAUCCUGGGACAAACCCAAACAAACUCAAACCUGGGGUAUGAGAAGCAGACCUUUUCUCCAGUGCAAUCCAGCUGAACCAGAGGCUGAAGCAGUGACUGCAGAGGGCAUUCCUAAAGGCAGCAAAGCCUCGGGUGAUGGGAGUGAUGCUGCUGUCCCUGUGGGGUGGCCUGGCUGUCCCAGCUGUCCCAGGGCUGUGGUGCUGCAGGACAGACCCCGAGUGCAGAGCACAAACCACCAGCACACCAAAAACCCUCCCGAGCGCUCUCUGGAGCCAGGCACACCUGGAAACACUUCAAUCACCUCCCUCAGGUCUCCAGGAGACAGAGAAAUCCGGGGGCUCCAUCGACAGUGCCUUUGGCAGAAGCGAUGGAAACAGGACCUUCAGCCCGGUUUGGAUGGAGCCCGGGGUGCCCAGAGCCCCUCCUGUGCCCCCAGCAGAGCGUGGCCAGCUCAGCCCUGCAGCAGCUUACCCACCCUGGCCUUGUGCUCUCUGCUUUUGUGUUUGCCUCUCUCUGCUUGCUAUAAACACCAUCCUGGGUUUCACAGAUGGUGAGAGAUGGCACCACAUUCAUUGAUGUUGUAACGUUCUCCAGGGGCGCAAAAUAAAAGCAGUUUUGCAUUCCA